rnacentral:rRNA from 1 species
UUCUCCCUGACCCUUUAAGGGUCCUGAAGGAACGUUGAAGACGACGACGUUGAUAGGCCGGGUGUGUAAGCGCAGCGAUGCGUUGAGCUAACCGGUACUAAUGAACCGUGAGGCUUAACCUUACAACGCCGAAGGUGUUU